AUGGGAACUGCUCAGGUGCCAGGGGCUCUCUCAAGCCCACCUCUUAGAGUUGCCUUGGGCCAGAAGAUGGAGGCUGGACCUUGGCUGUGAUCCCCAUACCAUCUGCUUUUAUGGAGAAAUGUACUCAAAGUUGCAAAGUGCCAGAGAGGCUAUGUGGCUGUCCAAGGGACCUGAGAGGAAACAAUGUGGGCCACUUAUAAGCUUGGUCAAAUCUCCCAUGCGUGCCUCCAUGCCCUGGUCCUCUUAUAGCCGGCUGGACUGAUGAUGACCCCUGGGCAACCUUGGAAAAGACCAGUGGCCUGGUGAAGACCACAGAGCCUCUGCCAGUUCAAACCCACAAAUGACUGUGCCGAGUGGGUUGCCCCACAAACCUCUACAUCUCCCCAGAAGUAUUACUUGAGCAAAAAAUAAACUUCUAGUGUGAUGACA